UCAACCAAAGUCAUUAAAGACCUGUUGAAGGUAACAUUACCACAUUUAUUAAUGUAUUUAUUAUGUUAAGUGAGUACACCACAGUUCUGUAAGUGAAAAAUAAUUUAUAUUUGUGUGUUUUCUCUCUCAGUAAGGACUAAGGUUAACUGAAUGUCUGUCUGUUCUCAACCAAUGUCAUUAAAGACCUGUUGAAGUUUAGCACAAAGUUUCCAGCACAAGUUUGGAUCUUUACCAUUGAGAGUGGCUUACUGUUCUCGACCAACCAUCAUUCACACGCAAAAACUUUAAAGAUAAGUAUGAACGUGCCCAGAGCAGUUUUUGAUCUUUACCAUUAAGGAGGCUGACUGACUAUCCUCUACCACCCGUCAUUAACACAACAAAAACUAAAGAAAUGUUACUCCAUAUGGACCUAUUCAUUUACUCAUUAUGCUGUGAGUACACCACAGUUUUAUCAGUGAAAAAAGGUAUAUUUGUGUGUUUUCUCACUGCUUGGCAAGGACAGAUGUGGCCCUGUUAAAAAUGUUUAAAUGUUGUUUGGUUUAAGGAACAGCACACUGAUUUUGUUUUAAAAUAUUCCUGUUUGGACAGUCUGUUAAAGCCAUAAAGGAAUACUUGA